rnacentral:tRNA from 1 species
GCCUGGGUGGCUCAGUUGGUUGAGCGUCCGACUUCAGCUCAGGUCACGAUCUCACGGUCCGUGAGUUCGAGCCCCGCGUCAGGCU